UUCGACCUCAAAUCAGGUAGGACUACCCGCUGAACUUAAGCAUAUCAAUAAGCGGAGGAAAAGAAAACCAAGGGAUUGCCUUAGUAGCGGCGAGUGAAGCGGCAAAAGCUCAAAUUUGAAAUCUGGCACUUUCAGUGUCCGAGUUGUAAUUUGAAGAAGGUAUCUUUGGGUCUGGCAUCUUGUCUAGUUUCCGUGGGAA
rnacentral:rRNA from 1 species